CCCUUAGAUGUUCUGGGCCGCACGCGCGCUACACUGACGAAGUCAGCGAGCAUGUCCUACGCCGACAGGUGCGGGGAAUCUUGUCAAACUUCGUCGUGAUGGGGAUUGAUUUUUGAAAUUCUUGAUCAUAAACGAGGAAUUCCUAGUAAGCGCAAGUCAGCAGCUUGCGUUGAUUACGUCCCUGCCCUUUGUACACACCGCCCGUCGCUACUACCGAUUGAAUGGUUUAGUGAGAUCUUCGGAUUGGCGCCACUGCAGCUCAGCAAUGGGCUAGGUGGAUGCCGAAAAGUUGAUCAAACUUGAUCAUUUAGAGGAAGUAAAAGUCGUAACA
rnacentral:rRNA from 1 species